UACGGGGGGGGGCAAGCGUUGUUCGGAAUUACUGGGCGUAAAGGGCUCGUAGGCGGCCAACUAAGUCAUACGUGAAAUCCCUCGGCUUAACCGGGGAACUGCGUCUGAUACUGGAUGGCUUGAGUUCGGGAGAGGGAUGCGGAAUUCCAGGUGUAGCGGUGAAAUGCGUAGAUAUCUGGAGGAACACCGGUGGCGAAGGCGGCUCUGGGCGAUACUGACGCUGAGGAGCGA
rnacentral:rRNA from 1 species